UGGGCGGAGCCAGGCCGAGCCACGUGAUUUGUCGGAGACUGGGGUGCCGGGCCCCUAGCCACAGUCUGUCAGCUCGGGUCUGCAACGUUACUAGGGAAGCGCCAGUGUCGCAGCCGGGAGGGGAUCUUAGAAGAGAUCGUAGGGUGCCUCCUGAAGAGCUACCAUGUCUGAGAAUUCUUCAUCUUCCCCAGUACAGAACAAGAACAGAUAUGAACCCAAGACUGCUAAUCUUCGAAUGACAGAUAAGAAAUGUUCAUGGGCCUCCUACAUGACCAACUCCCCGACUCUUAUUGUUAUGAUUGGUUUGCCAGCCCGGGGUAAAACCUAUGUGUCUAAGAAGCUUACACGCUACCUCAACUGGAUUGGGGUACCUACCAAAGUGUUCAAUCUUGGGGUUUAUCGACGUCAAGCAGUCAAGUCCUAUAAGUCCUACGACUUCUUUCGGCAUGACAACAAAGAGGCCAUGAAGAUCCGCAAACAUUGUGCCAUGGUGGCCCUGGAAGACGUUAAGACCUAUCUGACUGAGGAGAACGGGCAGAUUGCGGUAUUUGAUGCCACCAAUACUACCCGGGAGAGGAGAAAAAUGAUUUUGAACUUUGCCGAGGAGAAUUCCUUCAAGGUAUUCUUUGUGGAAUCUGUUUGUGAUGAUCCUGAUGUCAUCGCUGCCAAUAUCCUGGAGGUAAAGGUGUCAAGCCCUGACUACCCUGAAAGGAAUAGGGAGAAUGUGAUGGAGGACUUCCUGAAGAGGAUUGAGUGCUACAAAGUCACCUACCAACCCCUUGACCCAGACAACUAUGACAAGGAUCUUUCUUUCAUCAAAGUGAUAAAUGUGGGCCAGCGUUUUUUAGUCAACAAAGUCCAGGACUAUAUCCAGAGCAAGAUUGUCUACUACCUCAUGAAUAUUCAUGUCCAGCCUCGCACCAUUUACCUUUGCCGGCAUGGAGAGAGCGAGUACAAUCUCUUAGGAAGGAUUGGGGGUGACUCUGGCCUCUCUGUGCGGGGAAAGCAGUUUUCCCAGGCUCUAAAGAAGUUUCUAGAGGAGCAGGAAAUAAAAGACCUUAAAGUGUGGACAAGCCAGUUGAAGAGGACUAUCCAGACUGCUGAGUCUCUUGGAGUGACCUAUGAGCAGUGGAAGAUUCUGAAUGAGAUUGAUGCUGGCGUGUGUGAGGAGAUGACAUACGAAGAGAUCGAGAAGCAGUACCCAGAGGAGUUUGCUCUUCGAGAUCAAGACAAGUAUCUAUAUCGCUAUCCUGGCGGGGAGUCAUACCAGGACCUGGUACAGCGGCUGGAGCCUGUCAUCAUGGAGCUGGAACGUCAGGGCAAUGUCCUUGUCAUCUCCCACCAGGCUGUCAUGCGAUGCCUCCUGGCCUACUUCUUGGAUAAGGGCGCAGAUGAGCUACCAUACUUGAGGUGUCCUCUCCAUAUCAUCCUCAAACUCACUCCUGUGGCCUAUGGGUGCAAAGUGGAAACGAUUACGCUCGGAGUGGAGGCUGUGAACACUCACCGUGAAAAACCGGCUAACAACCUCCCCAAGAACCAAACCCCUGUAAGGAUGAGAAGGAACAGCUUUACGCCUCUGUCCAGUUCGAAUACAAUAAGGCGUCCGAGAAAUUACAGUGUUGGGAGCCGGCCCCUCAAGCCCCUCAGCCCUCUCCGUGCCUUGGACAUGCAAGAAGGGGCCGACCAGCCGAAGACCCAAGUCAGCAUUCCGGUGGUGUAACCGUGUGUUUCCCUUUAGCCCUGGCCUCCUGCCCUUGUCACUAAUCUCCAAGGAGUCAUUUAACUUCCACCGCCACCCCUUCCCUCAACACCUCACCAUUAUUCUUAACCCAGAAUAUGAGGUCACACAUGUACAGGCCAACUCUAGUCGUUCUCCAGUUGGAAAUAGCUCCUCAUCCAGGGGCAGGAUGGCAAGUUGGGUCUUUUAGGAUGGGAUGGUCUGGAGAAGGAGAAAAAGGACACAUUCUCCCUGGGGGCUAAGCAUGCCUCAUAACUUGGUUCUUUGUUCUCUGGUGUCUAACCUCACUCAUAUCCUAGCAUUGGUGAAGUGGGGAUGGUGGUGAGUGAAGGGAACCAGGAAGGCCCAGUUUUCCUUCACCUUGUCUCUUUAAUGUGUAUUUAACUCACAGUCCUUACUUAACUAUCUCUCAUUUUCAUCUCCCCUCUGGAUUGUCUAGUGUAAUGCAUGACAUUGUAGUGUCUGUCAAAGAGGGAAGGGGCAGUUGGUGUGGGAGAAGUCCAGGCCCCAGUGGUGUUUUCUAGUGGGUCUAAGUGGAUCUGGACUGGAGGAGUCUCUCCUUUCCCUUCUCCUUCCUCUCUAGCCAGGUCCUGAAAGGGCCAGCCCAGGUUACAGAACAUCCACAGAAUGCUCUGGAGCUUGCAAGUGGACAUAGGGUUCUUUGCCAAUCACAGCAACUUUCCUGCCACAGCCAGUGACCUCUGGGGCUUUUUAGAAGGAUGGAGUUAGAUUCUGGAGUCACCACUGAUGUCUGAAUCACUCAAAACAAAAGGCAGAGAAGAGCUCACUCCAGUUCACCAAAGCUGCUUAUUAUUUUCCAGUGAUUUCCAGCAUACCCCUAAAGUUAUUAUUAUUAUUAUUAUUUUAGCAGGAGAAAUUUUUUUUUCCAAGUGUGGAAAAGCUUGAUGAUGAACUUAAUCUCUCUUCUUGGGGCAUUCUUUUGUUCAUAAGGAGAAAUUACCUUGACAUUUUGAGAAUUUCAUGCAGUCUAGCUCUUUCUUGACCAUUCUAAUUUAUCUAUUCAUUUUUGUCAUCUCAUUUUCUUUGUAGGGUUUGAAAGGAAUUGUUUAAAGAAGCCCCUUGAUAGCAUAUAAUUGUUUUCCUUCUAUCUCAAUUUUGUAUACAAAAUAGAUGAAUGUAUAUAUGUACAUUUUUCUGAGAGACAAAUCUAGAGUUCUCGUGGGAUUUUUAAAAUAGGUGAUCCCCUGCCUAUCCAUUUACAUUUUAGAGUUAGCGGUGGGAACAAGUUAACUAUUUCCCAAGGGUUUUCGUUUUGUAAUAGAAAACCUUUCAUCAUGGUUCUCACCCAGGAACCUUCCUUGGGGUCUCCUUUAUAGCUUUGGAGACAUACACAGGCCUGGGUCCAUCUGAGUCAGGCUGAAUGCUGACUCAGAAACUGCAGUUGAAGUCUGGACACAUGUGUGUUUAAAUAGCUUCCCUGAUGAUUCUGAUUCAUACCCAGGGUGUUCCACCUUAUGAAGUAAGUGGAAACAUACUAGAUAGUAGUUUCUUGGACAAAGGAUCAACCUUGGCAUUCUGAAUUCCUCUUAAUUCUAAAAGUCAGUUCUUUGGAGUUCAGUAUUGGAGCCGAUCACCGAAGUAAGUGAAGCAGGCCUCUCAGUCAGGCUGCUGUGCUUUAGAGACUUACUGUGGGUUCUAGUUUCACCUUUCACCCUUCACGUUGUGCAGUGAUGUGGAACAAACCUCUAAAUGACCUUGAAUAAAAGCUGGGUUUCCAAGCACCCUGGAGAGAGGUCCUGAGGUACAGUCUGUAAGAUGAGGAAGGUUGUCUCCACCUUGAGCCCUUCACUUUUACAUUCCAAGUAGAAUACCACAGCUGCUUUCCAAAGGCUGCUGGCCUAGCGUCUUCUCAAAAUUGUGUCUAAGACAUAAAAUUACCUGCUCUUCCUGUCAAGCUGUUGCACAAGGUCUGUAGUAGUGUCUUUGUGGGGCUUGGAGCUGGAUGGGGGAAGAAAGAACAGAAAUAGAAAAAGAAAGGUCCUUGACCUCAAGGAGGUUACUUUAAGAGACAGGGCAUGUAAUUUACAGCAAAUGAACAUUCACAAAAGAGCCACACACUGAGUCUAGAAGUGCUGAUGUGCUGUGGACUACAGAUUGCUUGUGACUGUUCCCUUUUCCAAUGGCUGUGAGACCAAAAAUGUUAGGGGAUAGAAAGGCUCCGUCUCCCCAGUGUGAGAAGGAAAGCCUGGGAGGUAUGUGUGGCUCUUUUACAGGGUUGCCUUUUCUAAUUUGGUUGGGAUGAUGGCAACUCUAGCCCAAAUGGUUAUUCGAUCUAUUUUCCUGCUGCGAGGUGACAGUAAUUUAGAGAUAAUAAAUGAGAAGAGGGAGAACUUUGAUCCAAAGAUGAGAGAUUUAGAUGGCACCUCCUCUUAGGUUCAGGGGCCUUCUCUGACUGACUAGCAUUGUGUUAGCCUGUUAUAAACACUGUCAUUAGAGACAGGUCACUGGAUGUUCGUUUUGGCACUCAUUCUGCUGAUAAUACUUCUAAUCUUCCCCUGUGUUAGUUUCCUAUUCCCAGAUGAGUAAUGGAGGUGACCUUAUCCUCACAUAGGACAGGGGAAGUUAGAAUUUGAAAACAGCACCAGUUUCAACAUCCUUUGAUUUCUGAUCCCUUCAGAGAUGUUCACGAAAGAAGUCAAGAGAAUAUAGAAUUGAAUAGAGCUCUUCGGGAUUUUAGGGAAGUUCUACUUCCCAUCUUUUUUUUCUAUUCUUCUUCCCCUUGUUACUUGAAAUGUAUAUUGGUAGUAGAUACCUGUUACUCUGCUUAUGUCUAUAUCACAAGUUCUACAAAAAAAGGAUGGACUCCAGGGAACCCUUUGCUGAGGUUUUAAUUGUUGCCAUGGGGGAAAUAGGUGAGACUUUGACAUUUGAUCUACUGGUAUAAAACCGGGAAAUGAAAACCAUAUUUUGUUUUUGUUAGUUCCAAGCUGAAUGAGGAUGUCUGUAACAGAUUUUUGAAAGGAUUUUGUUGCAGAUUCAGAGAACCCACUUCUCUUCUGUUCCUACUUCCUAAUUUCCAAAUUGGAAUUUAGUUCUUAUUUAUUAUCAAUAGUGUCCUUUUUGUUUUGGUAAUGGGCUGGUUUUACAUCGAAUUGGAAAGUAGAAUAAAAAAUCUUUUUCAAAUAAGAAAACCUUUUAAAAGUCUUUUUAAUCUUAAGAUUUUAAAUCUUUUAAAAAUCUUUUAUAUGCAGUGUGCUAGGGAAUUGCCCUAUGUCAUUGUGUCUGGGUUUUAUUUUUGUUUCCCAAAAAAUUGGAGUAGAGGAUAAGAUGUAUUUGUACUCCUGGAUGGAAUGGUUGAGUGUUUCUUGUGAAGAUCUGAUAGACCUUACAAUCCACAUUUGAUCUUCGGAUGCACUGGUAUUUGAAGAAACAUGAUAUAUACCUGUUUGCAAAUAAAUCCAUCUUUGGGGUUUUCUGGGAGCAGGAGAUCUGAAUUCUAGAGUUCCCAUUGGUGCUUGGGGUGGCCAGUGGACAAAGGGAAACACGUCCUGGGUGAUGAAAUCUCAUGCACAUUCCACUAUCCUAGCCAAGCCCAGAAACCACUGUAUCUGUUGUCAAGAGGUUUGAUAGACGUACCCAGCUUUUCUUAUAUGUAUUUUGACUUUUUGUGUGUGUUUUAAAAUGUUUUAUUUUUAAAAUAUAUAGUCACAUUGUCAUGGUAGAUCCUUGCCUUUCCCUAAAGAUGACAUAGACAUCAGAAGUGUGUCCAGGAAUUUUGUUUAGACUCUUGGUGUCCCUAAGACUAUUUCUAAAGGGGUCUGUGCCGACUGACUUUGGGCUCUGAUAGGGUCUGCAGGCUGACAGUCUUCUCGGUUUUCUCAUUGUACUGUUUUUCAGUAUGGUAAGUUAUUAUAAUUGUCUAUCUGUGGCACAUGUCCUGCAAAGAAAGGAACUAAACACUGUACAUUUUCUUUAUGGGGAAGUUCUGUGUGCUAUAAUUUUUCAAAGACAUUUCUUAUGUAAUAGUGGUCAAAUUCUCACAGUGUUUAUAAAGAUGAUGGUUGUAUGGUGUUUUGUGAACUCAGAUAAGGGAAUGCCUAGUCAGAAUCUGAAGUUGUGAUUUCUACUUGAAGUCAUCUUGUCCAGUCCCCUGCUUCAGAGUAAGACUUUUCUUUCACUAUCCAUUCCUGAAUCUUCUGUCCUCAGCUUAUCCUAUUAAGGAAUGUAGCAUUCUAUUGAAGAGUGUUAUUGUUUUUAAUCUGCCAUGCAUUUGGCUUUUAUUCCUAAUAUAAUAAAUGCAAAGGAAAUUUGCAUUCAGAAACUGAUUUUAAAUGGGCAAAAGUAUUCUUUCCCAUAAGUCUUUCACUGGGUAUCUGUGGCCAACAUUUACUUACUAUUUUUGUAUCUGAAUUGCUUGUAUACAUUUUUAUUGUUGUUGAAGUAACAAAAUCAACUCAUUGUAAUACAGUGAUGGUUUUCUUUGCAAAAGCAAAGAACUGAAUGCCACCCUCUUUGGAGGGGACUAGGAGUGGGGCUGAGCCCCAUGGGUUUGAAUGGAAAUGGGCUGGGCUGGGAAACCCAGGAACAGAGUUCUACCGUGGACUUCCCAGGCACAGCUUCUGUUGAACAUGGGAGCAUUAAUCUCUAGCACCAUUCUGAUUUAAUCUGGUGACAUGAUGACAUGAGUUUUUACUUAGAUGCACUAAAGGUGUAUAUAACUGUAUUGGAAAUGUGCUUGUGUGUGUGUGUGUGUGUGUGUGUGUGUGUGUGUGUGGAAUGGGUAAAUAAAAUUGUUGAGUAACUUGAACCUAUCAAAAGGCUUCUGGAAUUUUGUUUUGUGUUUUGGGCUAUGUCCCCACCCACACCCUCUAAAACUUCAUUGCAUGCUGAGAAGAAUUGGGCAGACCAAUGUGGGUUCUCAGUGCGACUAUAGACAAGACUCUCUUUCACUACCUUUUAGGGAGGAUGGGAAAGACAUGGGAAGCGCAUAAACUUGGGUAGUCAUGUACACCUGUUGUACCUAUGCAAGAAUUAAGAGAAAAUUACUCUCGACCCUAUGGUGCUGUGACUCCUACUAACAACAUGUAGCUCAUAUUACCUAUUUAAAAAAAAAAAAAACUUGAGAUCUUUUACAAUUUAGUGUCUGUUGCUUUUAAAAUAUACCCCACCUAUUUUUAAAGAGAUUAACAGCCAAUGGUAAAAAAUGGUUAUUUAACAACUUCUGAAACAGGAACUAGAGCUGAAAUUGUUUUUGCUAUUCUCAUGCCUUAUUCCUUAUUACUCUAAGAAGGGCCACAAGCUCUUUAGAAAUGCAGAGUCUCAGGCCCCCAAAUCAGACCUUCAUUUUUACAGGAUCACCAGGCACAUUUAACAUUUGAGAAACAUUGUUCUAAGGGGAAGAACUCCUCACAAGGUAAAACAUUGAAUCCAAACUUAGGGGAAAAAGUUGAUCUGCUCUGAUCACUGACUUCAGAAUGGCCUGGAGUAACUACAAUGGUAGGGAACCUCCUCAGAAGCCAAGUAGCCUCUGACUGCAAUGUCACUUUUUUGGCAUGGUCUUUGGCUGAAGUAGGCUGCAUAUUCUCUUUUUUUGCCACAGGAAUCCUGACCACUUCUGCUUCAUAUCUUAGGAAGUGAAUACUGUGCCGACUGAGCAUAAACCUGCCUCUGUGACGUCCUUCACAUUGCACUCCUGAUGGUGUGGAGGCUGAGGCCAGACCUCUCCAAGGGACUGGAUCUUCUGAAAAACUUGGGAUGUCAGCUCCCCUGAGGCUAGAAAUGGAGGUUAAGUGGGGACUGCAAAUUCAUGGCUACCAAAAUGAGUCCUGGCAAAAGUCACCACAUUUCUUUCCCCAUGCCUAAUGGGAAUAUCAGUUAUACUGUGCCUCAAAACAUUUAACAGCCGGAACCAAUUAGUUUUCAUCAACUCUUUGUUGGGUUUGGUCCAGGUUUGUGGAUAUCAUUCUGUUUAGGCAUUUAGCAUCCUACCUGUGACUGCAACCCUAGCUGUCUGUUUGCCCAAGGUGCACAUGUACUUCUUCAAAUUUGGUUUCUGAGUGAGAGGGAUGAGCUCCAGGAAGCCAUUUCUGUGUAAUAAGAACUGGUCUUGGCAUCCACCUCAAGCCAGCUGGCUAGAGUACAAUAUACAUAUGCUAACAGCCACCUCUUGAUAUAUUAUUGGAAGUGAGACAAAAUCACCAGGUAAAUGGAAGGUAUCUGAGAAAUUCAGUACCUAGAAUGUCUCUUCUAAAGUGAUAGAAGUCAAUGUCAAUAGCACCCUUUUCAUUUAGAAAAGUUUUUCUCAUUUUAGGCCCUUCAGGGGUGAGUCUGACUAGAAGACUUCCCCAAAGGUUACUCGUCUUUAAGUUCUCUUUUAUACAGCUGUAUUCUACCUGAUGCAUGUGCCUCUCAUAGCUGAAGAGAACCGAGGUAGUUCUCCUGGGUGACUGGAAUGAGGGCUGGAAAAAGAGAGUGCCAUUUCAUUUAUAACCCCAUGAAGGAAUGAAAACAGCUCUUGGGCAUUAACUCUAUUGGGAUUUUUUUUUUUUUUUUUUUUUUUGCUUUGAAACAGGUAAAGACAGACCUAUCCUUUGAUGGGAUCUGUCAUGGUGACCUGGUCUCUAAGAAAGCUGUGACUGUCUUUUCAAGAAAGCAGUCUAUUGAUGUCUGUCUCUGAUCCAGUCCACUAUCUUGAUCAACUGGUCUCCCAUGUCACACCACUGGAGAAGAGAAGAACCAAGACUUCAGUGCAUUUGUCACUUGCUUACCUUCCAGAGAAACCAGAUCACCAUACCCAGAUCAGUGAUUGUCAAAUGUGCAAAUAUGUCUCUGUGAAUGUGACUUUAAUAUGUUGCUGCUCUCAUGGAAAAAGAAUGUGAAAUCCUCACAGGACAUUAUAUCUUACAAACAAAAUCUAUUUUUUUUUUUUAAUUUUAAGAAUAGAGUUUGGGCUUUAAUUAUUACUUUUUUUUUCACUCAAAUGCUCACUGGGCAAAAGUCUGGGUAGCAAGAAAAAUAAUGAGAUUCAGCUUUUCCUAAAUGGUUCUUUUAUACUGUGGAUGGUGCAGGAGACUGUUACUGACUAUGUGAAGAGCUGGGCUGGAGGCAGCUCAGCAUCUGGCAACUGGGAGCUUAUUUUAUAUGCACAAAGCUGCCUUCAGAAGGCUCCUUACUCUGCUCUGUAGCAGAUGGUUUUCAUCUGGCUGCUUGUAGCAUGCUGUACUGUAUUGAUUUGUUCUUCUGAUGCAGAUUUCUUUCUGCAUCUAAAUAUACUGUUUUCUGAUUAUUAAUGUUUUAUUUAGUUAUUUAUUUAUCCAUACAAAGCAUUUUUAUAUCAGCAUUUGCAUGUAUUUAAUCAGAAUGUAAUAUAAUUUGUGUUGUCAGCUUUUUGGUAGAGGCCUAGAUGGUUUGAACUUUUAAGUCUAAUGUCCAUAGUGUUCCUUAAGUUUUCAGAAUGUGGAUAUCUGUAAAAGGAUAGUAACUAUGUAAAAGCACAGUGGACUUUUUUUGAGCACUUUUUUCCUCAUUGAUUUUUAGUAUAAACCAAGAGAUGCAUUUCUCUGGAGAAAUGUUCAUCUCCUGGAUAAAUAAAAUCAUGCUAAAAUA